rnacentral:rRNA from 1 species
UACGAGGCAGCAGUGGGGAAUAUUGCACAAUGGGCGCAAGCCUGAUGCAGCCAUGCCGCGUGUAUGAAGAAGGCCUUCGGGUUGUAAAGUACUUUCAGCGGGGAGGAAGGCGGUGAAGUUAAUAGCUUCACCGAUUGACGUUACCCGCAGAAGAAGCACCGGCUAACUCCGUGCCAGCAGCCGCGGUAAUACGGAGGGUGCAAGCGUUAAUCGGAAUUACUGGGCGUAAAGCGCACGCAGGCGGUCUGUCAAGUCGGAUGUGAAAUCCCCGGGCUUAACCUGGGAACUGCAUUCGAAACUGGCAGGCUAGAGUCUUGUAGAGGGGGUAGAAUUCCAGGUGUAGCGGUGAAAUGCGUAGAGAUCUGGAGGAAUACCGGUGGCGAAGGCGGCCCCUGGGACAAAGACUGACGCUCAGGUGCGAAAGCGUGGGGAGCAAACGAGGAUUAGGAUACC